rnacentral:rRNA from 1 species
CAGUCCUACGGUAUGCAGCAUUUUUCCCUCUUGCACCCUCGUUUAAACCCUGAUGCAGCGACGCCGCGUGAGCGAUGAAGUAUUUCGGUAUGUAAAGCUCUAUCAGCAGGGAAGAAAAUGACGGUACCUGACUAAGAAGCCCCGGCUAACUACGUGCCAGCAGCCGCGGUAAUACGUAGGGGGCAAGCGUUAUCCGGAUUUACUGGGUGUAAAGGGAGCGUAGACGGCUGUGCAAGCCAGAUGUGAAAGCCCGGGGCUCAACCCCGGGACUGCAUU